AUGGGGACAGAGGGACAGAGACAGAGGGAUGGGGAUGGGGACAGAGAGAGGGGCCGGGGGGGGCAGGGGAUGGGGACAGGGAUGGGGACGGAGGGACUGGGACGGAGGGAUGGGGAUGGGGACAGGGACAGAGGGAUGGGGACAGAGGGGUGGGGGACGAGGGACAGGGCCAGGGGCCAGGGGGGGAGCAGGGAAUGGGGGCAGAGGGAUGGGGACAGGGACAGGGAUGGGGACAGAGGGACAGGGAUCAGGAAAGGGAUGGGAAGCAUGGGGGGAUGCAGAGGGCAGGGACACGGACAGAGGGACAGGGACAGGGGCCCAGGGGCCGGGGGGGCAGGGGAUGGGGGCAGAGAGAUGGGGACAGGGCUGGGAAAAGGGCUGGGAAGCAUGUGGGGUGCAGGGGACAUAGGAACAGGGACAGAGGGAUGGGGAGUAGGGGGUGCAGUGGACAGGGACGGGGUCAGGGAGCAGGGGAGGGCUGGGGGGGUCGGGGGGGGACUGAGGGGGCAGGGAGAGCGGGAUGGGGAAUGGGGGGGCUGGAGAAAGAGGGGCUGGGGGGGAGGAAGGGCUGCAGCGGAUGGGGACGGACAGAGGGACGGGGAUGGAGCUGGAGGGGCUGGGGAGCCAGGCAGGGGGCUGGGGGGGUCCCAGCAGUGCCACCCCCCCCCCCACUUCGGGCACAGGCUGAGGGGGGGGGGGGGGCACAAAGGGGCCGCCUGUGCGGGGCUGCGGGGCCAGCGGCGGCCUUUGCCCAUUGCCCUGGGAACCGUUGCUGAGAUUUCGGGAUGGAGGCGCCCGGCACGGCCACGGACCCCCCCCUCCUGCACCCCCCCUGCUCGGGGAUGGAGGCACAGAGCCCCUCAGCCCCCCCCCCCCAGCCCGUCCCUGGUGGUCCCCAGCCAUGGAGCAGGCUCGGCCCCGGGUCCCCCCCGUUUUGCCCUGGGGUGCCGGCGAUGGCCCCAGCUCCAGCUCACAUUUUUUGGAUGCUUUCCUCACCCCCCCCCCCGGUCUGGCCUGCGAGUUGGGGAGGGGGCUGUAAGCGGUGGGGGUGUCUGGGGGUCUCUGGGGGUGCCCAGGGGGCUUGGGGGGGGGCAGCUUCAGGUCAGUGCCUGGGGAUGUGCGGGUGCGAGGAGCUGA
rnacentral:lncRNA from 1 species